UUACCUACGGGGCGCAGCAGUGGGGAAUAUUGCACAAUGGGGGAAACCCUGAUGCAGCAACGCCGCGUGAAGGAAGACGGUUUUCGGAUUGUAAACCUCUGUCCUCUGUGAAGAUAAUGACGGUAGCAGAGGAGGAAGCUCCGGCUAACUACGUGCCAGCAGCCGCGGUAAUACGUAGGGAGCGAGCGUUGUCCGGAUUUACUGGGUGUAAAGGGUGCGUAGGCGGGUAAGCAAGUCAGAAGUGAAAUCCAUGGGCUUAACCCAUGAACUGCUUUUGAAACUGUUUAUCUUGAGUGAAGUAGAGG
rnacentral:rRNA from 1 species